rnacentral:lncRNA from 1 species
UGUUGUUGUUUUAGGAUAGUUUCGCACACCCCACACUGGCCUCAAACUCUCUAUGUAGUUGAAGAUGACCUUGCACUUCUGACCCUCUACUUCCCAAAUACUGGGAUUACAGAUCGCCGCCAUCAUGGACACGAGUCGCGUGCAGCCCUUCAAGCUGGCUAGGGUAACCAAAGUGCUGGGCAGGACCGGUUCGCAGGGACAGUGCACGCAGGUGCUAGUGGAAUUUAUGGAUGACACCAGCCGCUCUAUCAUCCGAAAUGUCAAAGGUCCCGUAAGAGAGGGUGACGUGCUCACCCUAUUGGAGUCAGAAAGAGAAGCUCGAAGGUUGCGUUGAUCUUGCAGCUGGGUUCUGGAUAUCCACUACUUAGCCCACGGAAUGAUCUGCAACUGUUAAAUAAAGCAUUUAUAUUAAUU